AAUGAACAAAUUAUAAUUUAAAAAUUUUCAUAACUCUUAUAAAAGUUACCUCGAUGUGCAGUGGAAAGAUGAUCAAGAUUAAUUGAUUCAUGAAGGUCGUUGGUUCACGAGAUCCAGAUGUCCAGACCCUCUACUUCGCUCGCAUACUAAGCAAUAUAGGAGAGAGGGAUGAAGAUCUUCUUCAGAAGGGAAGGAGAAAAGAGCUUUG
rnacentral:lncRNA from 1 species